GUUUGAUCAUGGCUCAGAUUGAACGCUGGCGGCAGGCUUAACACAUGCAAGUCGAGCGGGGAAGGGUAGCUUGCUACCUGACCUAGCGGCGGACGGGUGAGUAAUGCUUAGGAAUCUGCCUAUUAGUGGGGGACAACAUUCCGAAAGGAAUGCUAAUACCGCAUACGCCCUACGGGGGAAAGCAGGGGAUCUUCGGACCUUGCGCUAAUAGAUGAGCCUAAGUCAGAUUAGCUAGUUGGUGGGGUAAAGGCCUACCAAGGCGACGAUCUGUAGCGGGUCUGAGAGGAUGAUCCGCCACACUGGGACUGAGACACGGCCCAGACUCCUACGGGAGGCAGCAGUGGGGAAUAUUGGACAAUGGGCGAAAGCCUGAUCCAGCAAUGCCGCGUGAGUGAUGAAGGCCUUAGGGUUGUAAAGCUCUUUUACCAGGGAUGAUAAUGACAGUACCUGGAGAAUAAGCUCCGGCUAACUCCGUGCCAGCAGCCGCGGUAAUACGGAGGAUGCGAGCGUUAUCCGGAUUUAUUGGGUUUAAAGGGAGCGCAGACGGGUUUUUAAGUCAGCUGUGAAAGUUUGGGGCUCAACCUUAAAAUUGCAGUUGAUACUGGAGACCUUGAGUGCAGUUGAGGCAGGCGGAAUUCGUGGUGUAGCGGUGAAAUGCUUAGAUAUUACAUGGAAUACCAAUUGCGAAGGCAGGUUACUAACAAUAUAUUGACGCUGAUGGACGAAAGCGUGGGUAGCGAACAGGAUUAGAUACCCUGGUAGUCCACGCG
rnacentral:rRNA from 1 species